rnacentral:rRNA from 1 species
UCCGUAGGCGGGCUAAUAAGUCAGGGGUGAAAUCCAACAGCUUAACUGUUGAACUGCCUUUGAUACUGUUAGUCUUGAAUUAUAUGGAAGUAGAUAGAAUGUGUAGUGUAGCGGUGAAAUGCUUAGAGAUUACACAGAAUACCGAUUGCGAAGGCAGUCUACUACGUAUAUAUUGACGCCAAUGGACGAAAGCGUGGGGAGCGAACAGGAUUAGAUACCCUGGUAGUCC